AUGGGUAGUUGGCUUUAGGUCAAGUGGGAGAUUGUUAGAGUAGGUGACCAACAAGCCAACUUGUGGUUGUGGUCUUUCCAUAUUUACUUGUAAACAAUCUAUUUUCGUUAUUAAUGAAAUUCUGUUUUUG